CCUACGGGAGGCAGCAGUGAGGAAUAUUGGUCAAUGGACGAGAGUCUGAACCAGCCAAGUAGCGUGAAGGAGGACGGCCCUAUGGGUUGUAAACUUCUGUUAUAGGGGAAUAAAAUGGGCCACGUGUGGGAUGGUGUAUGUACCAUAUGAAUAAGGAUCGGCUAACUCCGUGCCAGCAGCCGCGGUAAUACGGAGGAGCCGAGCGUUAUCCGGAUGUAUUGGGGUGCAAGGGAGCGUAGGUGGAUUGUUAAGGCAGUUGUGAAAGUUUGCGGCUCAACCGUAAAAUUGCAGUUGCAACUGGCAGUCUUGCGUACAGUAGAGGUUGGCGGAUUUCGUUGUGUAGCGG
rnacentral:rRNA from 1 species